CUGUGUUAGAGCUCAACCCAGAAAAUUGUUGAAAAUUAAGAAAAUGGGGUUGAGUCUCCUGGUUUAGAGAAGCUCAACUCAGAGGUGAGCCCUUUGCAAGAGAGGAUUAUCUAUGGAAUAAACUGUGACAGCAGGAGUCUCCAUCCCCAGGACAGGCUGCCAACGCGCUCCAUCAGAUGGGUGAGUCCUCACAGUUGCUCUUCCUGCCUUCCAGGUCAUAGAAUCAUAGAAUGGUAUGGGUUGGAAAGCAUCUUAGGAUCAUCUAGUUCCAUCCCCCUGCCAUGGGCAGGGAUGCCUCACACUAGGUCUUAACAUUGGAAGCUGCCCCAUGUUUCCCUUUGAGGGGUAAGUUUCUUCUAAUUUUCUCUGGAUUUUUCUAAGCAUACAUUUUGACUCUUUCUAAUGGAUUUAAGAAUUGAUUUGCAUUGAUUUACUGCAUAGUGUUUUGUUGUGCUGUGAUAGACAAUCCAAAUAGGCCAAGUAAAAGCCGCUGCUCUGUGUCCAAGAGUGAAAUAGAAAGGUGGAUAUAGUGCUGUCAGGAAAGUUCAUGGAGAGGAACCAUUUUCCCCUUCGCUCUAAGCAAUAAGUAUUUAGGUUUUGCAUGACUAAGAAUGCAGCAUCAUCUUCCCUUUAACUCUUGCUUGUUGCUACUUAGCUGUUGUCGUUUUGUUGGAAUGAAUAAGCAGCUCUGAAGAGGAGCUGUUUGGUGGUUUGUGGCUUGGGUUUUUUUUCCUAUGGACAACUGCCUAUGUAGAGGAGCAGUGAAGCUUAGCUUGGAUGUUAUUUUAAGCAGCUCAUUUUUGCUGCCUGACCUAUAUGACUGAGUUAAGGUCACAGGAAAGAGCAUCUUUUUUCCCCAGAUUAGAUGAUGUGCUUCAUGCUUUGGGCUGCUGCUAAUAAUUGUGAUUUCUGGGACUGGAGGUAGAGAUAAAAACACCUCUUAAUUCUACCAGUCCUUGCAAUAUCUCCUCAGAGGAAUUCUGUAAGCUCCCUCUAUAAACCACAUCAUCCUUUGGUUUCAUCUUCAAAAGUAAGGGCAUCAACUACCCCGUGAAGGACAGCAGCACAGGGUGUUCUCCAGUAGAAAGAUAAAUGCAGCAUAACUGUCAGUCCUGCUCCAGUCUGAGUUUAUACAGUACCAUUAAGGUGACUAUCAUCUCUUUCAUGAUAUUGCUUCCAGUUAUUUUGUAUAUUGGGAGUAGCUGAUAUGCCAGAGGGAAAGGCAGCAGCCUUUCGUCAUCCAGAGGGACGUGAACAAGCUGGAUAAAUUGGAUGACAGAAGCAUCAUGAAAUUCAAGAAGACGAAUGCAAAGUCCUGCACCUAGGAAAUAAUAACAGUACAAGCAGUGGACUGGCUGACUAGAAAUCAGGUUAGCCAAAAAGAGCCUUGGAGGUCGUGAUGGACAUCAAGCUGAACGUCCUGGAGUUCCUGGAGUCCGUUCUCGCCCGUGUUCCUCUGCCAGGGGUUUUUCAGCGGCUGUGAGCUUUCCUCAUGCCUGCACUUUCCCUUAAAACUAGCAAGGCUGGUCAGAAAGACAAAAGAGAGAGGAGGGAAGAUUAUAGCUUUGUCACUUUUGCUUCCUUGGUAAUGGUCUGUGAAUUAUCUUAGAGGAAGUUGGGCAACUUGGGGAUCUUGAGGGCAAAGGUUCAUGAGGUCCUUCACACUGAUUGUGUGCUCUGCUACCCUUUUGCAGGGCAAGGACACUCUGCUUUCAUACUAACACAGCACUGUAAUGUUUUAUUUUAGCUCACUCCAUUACUUGGUGUAUUUGGAAUAUGCCCUUUCUAAUAAAUAGAGAGAAAAGGAAUUAAUUUUCUCUCUUAGAAUUUAGAUGAUACUUUCACCAGUGCCUCUUUCAACAAAGCCUUUUUUACCUAGUAGAAAAUACUAGGGGUUUACUUCUCUUUUAUCUGGUAUAAUACAUCUUUACAUCAUAAUACCGUGGCACAGAAGUUGCAUUUUCAAUGCCAGUGUAAAUGUUACUUACUUCAUAUUACUAACGAUCAUACAAAACCUUUACAUCUCUGUAAAGCUCCCCUGCAAUCUUAAGUAUUUUCCUGUUCCCUCAUAAGGCCUGAGGAAGAUCAUAGCCUAAUGGAAACACAUUUGAGGAAAAAGUGUUUUGGACAUCUAUUUGUUUCUUUGGGUUGCAUUAGAGUACAAACAGCAGAGUUAAGCUGGGAGCAGGGGAGAGCCUCCACAUUCUUGAGUCUGAAAUGCUGGUGACAAAAUUGCAGUACUGAUCUGUAUAUUUCAACUCGGUCAUUGAGUGAGAGCCAUUUGGAUGCUUCAUGCUCUGCAUCUUCCAAGUAAUUGCAGUUUAAGGAUUCAUUUUAAUGUUAAUUUUUCCCACUUAUAUGUUUGAAGCUGAGCUUGGAGUUAUGCAAAAAAGGCAUAUCUCAAUCUAUUUUGAAUAUGAAACCAACUGUAAGUAUAAAACGAACCCUACAUUAUAGCGUUACACAUUAAAACUUUUUACACAAUGCUUUUGAGGCAGUGAAAGACAAAGGACUCUGCCUUUUAAAAAUGGCCCUGUUUAAAAAUAAAAGGAAGUUGGUAAGUUCUCUGAAGAAGUGCAAAACGAGAUGCUGCUUCACACAUUCAUGUCUUUGAAACACUGGUUGUUUCAAAGCAAAGACUGGAUGUUUACACUGCUUUAUCUGACCCAUAUCCCAUCCAGCUUCUCAGUUAAUUCAUUUCUUCUUUGUGAUGUCAUAGCUCCUAAGAUCAGUCCUAUUACCUCUGGACACUAGAAUUGACAGGACCUUUAGGAAAAUGAGAUCAAGAUGAGUUUUGUGAUGAAUAAGAUUUAAAGCUGGGACUCCUGUGUUUUCCUAACUGCACCCACAGCCUUUGCCAUGGUCAGAAGGCAAAUUACUUAAAACAUAUAUGCUCCAAUGCCUCAAGAUUUUUGCUCCCAGAACUGGUUAGAAAAUGUUUUUCUCUCCAUGGGAAAUUCUGACAUUGGUGGUUAAAAACAAAAGAAAAUCAAUUUCUAUCCAGCCCCCCACUUUGUAGCAAAAAGCAGAAGCAGGCUGAGAGCUCUGGCUGGGGACCACAACCACAAUGUGUCUGAGAGCUGUGACUUCCAUGCCUUGUACCAUAGUCUCCAUUACAGGAUAGAGUCUGGGCUUGAACAAACCUCACCUCAUUCACCCGCAUCCUGCCCCUUGCUUGGCUGGCAUGGGGUGCAGCUACCGUGGGGUGUCCUGGCAGAUAUAAUCCAGCAAGAACCCUUGGCCAUCUGAGGCUUCAAACCUGCAGCUCCUAUGAAGAAAUUUGGAAGAAUUUCCAAAUGCAUGGAUUUUUUGCUUCUGACCAGGUAAGUUUGCAAAACAAAUAAUGAAAACUGUUGCUUAGUCAAAGCAGUGCCUGCCCAUCACGACUGACAUUACUGGCCCUUUAUUUGUCAUAAGAUGGCUCUAGGCUGCAUCUAGAUAGCUGGUACUCCAGCUGCCAGCCUAGUUGGUAUGGCUCCUCCAAGCCUUGCCCCUUCCCCAAACCCAAAAAGAGAGUGAGCAUCCAGUUCGGGGCUUCCCCUCCCAAGUUCUGCCUGUGUAAAGGGGAAAUAACAGCUAUGAGGAACUUUGGCAAACCUAACCUUCUGACUUCUUCCUCACUGCAACCAGCACAAGUGUUUCAGGGGCUCUGUGCCCCCUCACUACAAGACUUGGACGUCUCCAGACAGCCCUGAGGGCAAUGCAGUUCCAGCGUGCACUUUCUUGUGGAGAGUCUGGCAAAGCUCUGGGGCAGUCUUUUGCUUGGAGAUUGUUACUAUUUGCUUUGCAAUAACCCUUGUAAGUGUGUUUAAACCUGUGAAAGCCCAUAAGGAGAACAGACACUUCCCCAAAAGAAGAGGAUCAAAUUCCAUCGACAAAGGGGUUUUGUUAAUAAGUGCUUUUGCCAGCUGGCCACUGGGAAAGGGUAGCCUUAGAUACACUUGUCAGCAUGCUGGUGGAAAUGGCUCUGGAGGCAUUGGGACACCCCUACUGAGCAGAACUAUCAAAGGUGAGUUGAAGUGGUCACUGAUGGCAGGGACAGUGGCUAGAGGCACUAGUGGGACUGUUGGGGUGGACAGAAUGAGGAGACGCUUGAGGUUAAGGAAAAAGCAAAUGAAUUAGAUUAGGAAUUCAAAGCGAAUGACAUUCUUCAAAUGACCAGGCAGGAAAGGUAGCUUCAGAAGCAAGACAAAGUGAUGGCUGGACAGUAAAGAAGGCCAAUAAGUGAAUGAUACAGAUUUUAUUGCAGAAAUAUGCAGCAAAAGAAUUUAAUUACAGUCAUGAUUUAUUAAAAUGAGCUGGGAAGCAUCCCAGUUCUGGGAAGCUUUUUAUAGAAGAGGCAGCCCACAUAUUGCCUAUCCAAUUAGCAAGAGAGAUUUGUGGACAUGGGAUGUGGAAACUGGCAGCCACAGGGGUGAAUGGAAGUGUGUCUGUAAAUCACAUUUUGACAAAUGAGGGAGAAGACUGUCUUGGCUCAUCACAACCACUCCUCUGUCUGCCUCUUUUUUUCCCAAUCCAGAACUGAAGUGUUUGUCCCCUCAAACAGCUGUCUUGCCUUUGCUUCUUUUGAUGCUGUGAAGUUCAUCAAUAUUCAUUAGGACUGGAGAGACAGAGAGACUAAUUUUCAGCAGAGGCAGCUGGGUGACUCACUGUCAACACCAACACCGGUAACAAGGCCAGAUCCUUUGCCUUUUGGCAUCUCCCACCACCCUAUAGUAGGAAAUCUACCCUGCCGCUACCAUUGGCUGGGGGAGGUCUGCUGAGGACUACAAGGAUUCAGAUGUGAUGCCCACACUAAACCUAGCAACUCCAAACAAGAGCACAGGAAAAUCUAAGCAAGCUUGCAAGGUGCUCGCAGUCCUCUGAAAAUGCACAGAUAGACGGAGAGAGGGGAUUUUCAGCGUGGGGCAGCUCCAGAGAAGAAAUUCAAAGGUUACAAGUUCCUACUGACUAAAAAGAAAGCUGGAGAGGAAUCAGGAGAAAUCAGCUGAAACACGUGAAGAGAGUGGGAGUGGGCAUAAGAAAGCAAGAGAGCUCAUCUCCUUGGAGAGAGACUCUGAAAGGAGGAAGUUCUGUGGUCCCCGUUACCAGGAGAAGCUGAAAAUCCUGAGCUCACACAUGUGUACCCGUCUUCAGGAAAACUGAGAAAAAUCACACAUAUGUCUCCCCAGAGCAUUUCAAGCAAGCCAGGAGUUUGCAUUCAUAUGCAUAAAAGCUUUAUGUGGUGAGCUAGUUAAGCUCAAAGGGAUGGACAGCGGGACUUGUGCCACAGCAGAGACGUGUACCACAGUCCUGUAUAAUGAAUGGAGAAACCUGUCUGCUGCCCCAACAUUGGAUUGCCUCAUGGCAGCCACAGACCCUGUUUCAUGGCAGGAAUGGGCUAUCAGCAGGCUGGCCCCAAGCUGUGAUGAAGGAGAAGGACGGAAGGCUGAAAGACAUCAGUGAGAAAGGCUGUGAGGACCCUGGUCCACAGCAGGUGGACUCGUGGCAUGGGCAUCCUGUACCUGGGCUGCUGGGUGCAUUGAGUUCACUGUGCUCAUGUCAGCAGUGCUGCUGACCCCCUGCUUUGGCUGCCUGGCUCAGCCACGUGCAGUAGGUACAGCUGAGAAGACCCUCAGCUGUCCAUUUCAGAGCUACAGGAGAUUGCAGAUUUUGUUUGGUGGAGUAAUUUAGGGUUUCAAAUACUACCUGGAGCCUACCGCAAGGCAAUUUUAACCUUCAAAUCUUACAUGUGCUGGUUUUGCUUUCAUCAGCAUUGGAGUCCAUGCUUCUGCUCAUCCCUCCUCCCAGUAACUGUCACCAUUUUAAUUUAUAUCAACAAAAAGUCACAAUUCCACCUUUUACGCAUGUCUGCAAUAAUGACUUUGUUUCCAGAGCUGCUGGGCUUCAGUACUUCAGUCCCUCUGUAUACCACGCUGUUUUUCUGUGCCCAUGCUUAGAUGUUGGACUCUAGCUUUACAUGCCCAACCUUUGAAACACUGGUGAAAUUGAAUACUAACACACCACCACAAACAGUCUCCCAUGCUGGGGAAAGCUCCAGGGAGCCGAAUGCCAAAAUGUCAUCAGCCACUUAAGGGGAAAGUCUGACUUGAUGACCCUGCUGCUGGUGGAGUUUCCUUCUGUGCUGGAUAUAAACAUGUUGUCCUAGUCGGAGUUAAGUGUUAUUUUUAGCUAUGACAAAAGUGCAUCUGAAAAGCCAGCUCUGUUGCUCUUGGAAAAUACCAGAUCAGUCCAAGUGCCAAAUAUGCUGGGAAAAAGCAUUCCUGGAGAGGGCUCUCCCCAAACAGUCUGUAUGAACUCUUCACGGCUUCUGCUCCGUUCUUUUUCCCACACGCAGGCAGGCACGCUCACACGCACACACAGACAGAGCAGCUUGGAACUGCACAGGAGGGUAGUGAACCAUGCU